GACGAACGCUGGCGGCGUGCUUAACACAUGCAAGUCGAACGGAAAGGCCCUGCUUUUGUGGGGUGCUCGAGUGGCUAACGGGUGAGUAACACGUGAUUAACCUGCCCUUGACUUUGGGAUAACUUCAUGAAACUGGGGCUAAUACCGGAUAGGAGCUCCUGCUGCAUGGUGGGGGUUGGAAAGUUUCGGCGGUUGGUGAUGGACUCGCGGCUUAUCAGCUUGUUGGUGGGGUAGUGGCUUACCAAGGCUUUGACGGGUAGCCGGCCUGAGAGGGUGACCGGACACAUUGGGACUGAGAUACGGCACAGACUCAUACGGGAGGCAGCAGUGGGGAAUAGUGCACAAUGGGCGGAAGCCUGAUGCAGCAAAGCCGCGUGCGGGAUGACGGCCUUCGGGUUGUAAACCGCUUUCGCCUGUGACGAAGCGUGAGUGACGGUAAUGGGUAAAGAAGCACCGGCUAACUACGUG
rnacentral:rRNA from 1 species